rnacentral:rRNA from 1 species
AUUGAACGCUGGCGGCAGGCCUAACACAUGCAAGUCGAACGAGUGGCGGACGGGUGAGUAAUGUCUGGGAAACUGCCCGAUGGAGGGGGAUAACUACUGGAACCGGUAGCUAAUACCGCAUACCAUCGGAUGUGCCCAGAUUGGAUUAGCUAGUAGGUGGGGUAACGGCUCACCUAGGCGACGAUCCCUAGCUGGUCUGAGAGGAUGACCGGGCACACUGGAACUGAGACACGGCCCAGACGCCUACGGGAGGCAGCAGUGGGGAAUAUUGCGCAAUGGGCGAAAGCCUGAUGGAGCCAUGCCGCGUGUGUGAAGAAGGCCUUCGGGUUGUAAAGCACUUUCAGCGGGGAGGCGUUACUUAACCAGGAAGCACCGGCUAACUCCGUGCCAGCAGCCGCGGUAAUAC